rnacentral:rRNA from 1 species
CCUACGGGUGGCUGCAGUGAGGAAUAUUGGUCAAUGGGCGCGAGCCUGAACCAGCCAAGUAGCGUGAAGGACAACUGCCCUACGGGUUGUAAACUUCUUUUAUAAAGGAAUAAAGUGAGGCACGUGUGCCUCUUUGUAAGUACUUUAUGAAUAAGGAUCGGCUAACUCCGUGCCAGCAGCCGCGGUAAUACGGAGGAUGCGAGCGUUAUCCGGAUUUAUUGGGUUUAAAGGGAGCGGAGAUGGGGUGUUAAGUCAGUUGUUAAAGUUUGGGGCUCAACCGUAAAAUUGCAAUUGAUACUGGCAGCCUUGAGUACAGUUGAGGGAGGCGGAAUGCGUGGUGUAGCGGUGAAAUGCUUAGAUAUCACGAAGAACUCCGAUUGCGAAGGCAGCCUUCUGAACUGCCACUGACAUUGAUGCUCGAAAGUGUGGGUAUCGAACAGGAUUAGAUACCCCUGUAGUC